UGCAGCAUGAGUGUUACCUCCAGUUAUGUGAAAGCAGAGUUGGUAGGAACUGUGGGAAGCCGUUAGUUUCCUCAGACUUCAGCACGCUGCCUGCUGGACAGCUCCUCACCAAUACAGUCAGCUUACGGCAGGAGCCGAGGGAUCUCAGCGCCCAGAGGGAUCAUUGCCUCUCAGUUUGUACUAAGGGACAGAGGACAUAGCGUGGGCUAUAGCCAACGGGAUACUGAUAACGUUUCAUCUCUCAUUUCAACUUCUCAAUUGGGAAUCUGUAUUAUACUCCCUACCUUCUCUUGUUUUAACGGAUGUAUCUGUAAAGAAUGGAUCUAUCUGCCUGUGCUUGAUAACCACAGCGUCUUUUAUUUUUUCUUCUGCCUUAUUAGCUUGCUCCCUAAAGUUUGUAUUCCAGCUUGUGAUUCACCACGAACUGAAGUGGGAUUUACUAAGGCAAAUGUUCUGUUUCAAGUUCUCUCGUUUCUCCCAGCAAUUUCUAAAGCACUUGAACAUCACUGCCUUGGAUUAUUACUGACACAGAGGAGGAGGGAUUGCACAUUCAAAGAAAAAAAAAAAAAAAGAGGAGCUGCUGGGUUAGAUUCUGGAUGGCUUUUCCUUUAUAAGAUUUCUGUAUGUCGGUGUCUGUCUGCCCCUGUGUUUAUAAAAUGGGAUUACUCUAAGUGGAGUAAAGGAGCUUAAAUAUAAAUAUCAAAUCUAUAGAGAAAAGGGAAGACAUCUGGGGAAUCAAAGGAAAAACACCUGGGCAGAUUGUUUAAGAACGACCUUCCUCGAACACUUUGAUCCAAAGCGAUAUAUUAGCAGGGUGCUUGGAUAUUGCUGUCUCACAUAAACGGACCCUGUUUCUUGGAUGCUGGACUUCAGACUUGCUCUCUGCUUGUGUUCAACACACAGGGAUUACUGACACAAACACAAGACAUCGCAGCAUUUAACAUUUGCCAUGCUAUAGAACCAAGGAUAUAGAAGUGGUUGUUCAACAGGGACCUAGCCUUGCAAAGGCCUCUAACAAGAGCAAGUUUGAAAUCAGCUGCUGAGGAAUAAAAUAUGCAGUAAGUGGACUG